rnacentral:rRNA from 1 species
CACACCGCCCGUCACACCAUGGGAGUUGGCUCGCACCAGAAGCCGGUAGCCUAACCGCAAGGAGGGCGCCGUCCACGGUGUGGUCAAUGACUGGGUGAAGUCGUAACGAAGGUACC